rnacentral:rRNA from 1 species
UACAGAGGGUGCAAGCGUUAAUCGGAAUUACUGGGCGUAAAGCGCGCGUAGGUGGUUCGUUAAGUUGGAUGUGAAAGCCCCGGGCUCAACCUGGGAACUGCAUUCAAAACUGGCGAGCUAGAGUAUGGUAGAGGGUGGUGGAAUUUCCUGUGUAGCGGUGAAAUGCGUAGAUAUAGGAAGGAACACCAGUGGCGAAGGCGACCACCUGGACUGAUACUGACACUGAGGUGCGAAAGCGUGGGGAGCGAACAGG